rnacentral:rRNA from 1 species
CAACUCGACUGCAUGAAGCUGGAAUCGCUAGUAAUCGCGAAUCAGAAUGUCGCGGUGAAUACGUUCCCGGGCCUUGUACACACCGCCCGUCACACCAUGGGAGUUGGAAGCACCCGAAGUCGGUGACCUGACCGAAAGGGAGGAGCCGCCGAAGGUGAAGCCAGCGACUGGGGUGAAGUCGUAACAAGGUAAC